rnacentral:rRNA from 1 species
AACGAACGCUGGCGGCGCGUUUUAAGCAUGCAAGUCGAACGGCAAGGCAUUUUCCGGAUGCCCUAGAGUGGCGAACGGGUGAGUAACACGUAGGUGAUGUGCCCCUGAAGUUGGGGAUACGCUCAUGGAAACAUGGGGUAAUACCGGAAUAAUCUGGCAGUUUUUGAAUUGUCAGGAAAGAGGGGUUUGCCUCGCUUUUGGGAUCAGCCUGCGGCUUAUUAGGCUAGUUGGUGGGGUAAUGGCUCACCAAGGCGACGAUAAGUAGCCGGCCUGAGAGGGUGAUCGGCCACGAUU